GGGAGAACAAGACAAACUUGCAAAUGAUAUCUUAGGCUGCGGAGGAUGGCUCUCAAGGGGUGAAUGGCAAUGGCAGCGGCAGCGGCAGCGGCAGCAGGUUGGGGUUGCGCAGUGUGGAGUGGCGGAGGGCGCCCCAUCCUCUACCCCAGGCCAAAGCCAGUAUUGAGAUGGCCAUCCUCCAACUCUCUUUCUUUCACCUCAAUCUUUCUCUCUCGCUCCUCCUCCAACUUCCUCUCUCUCUCCACACAUGCGCAACGGGGCGAGCAAGACAUCCAACUGCGAGCUCCUACUGCCCAACCCCAAGAAGUAAACGACGACCAGGACCUUCAAUACGUUGAGCAAAUCAAACUGGUGUUGGAGCUUCUGCGGAAAAACAGAGACAUGCUUUUCAGUGAAGUAAAGUUAACUGUCAUGAUUGAGGAUCCAAGAGAUGCUGAGCGCAAGAGAAUGCUAGGAAUAGAGGACCCUGACACAGUGACAAGGGAAGAUUUAGUUGCAGCUCUCGAAGACGUUGAAGCACCCAAGAGGAAACCCAGUAAAUCUCCAUAUGCCAGUGUCACUGAUACGGGUAUUGAUCCUGAACUAGCCACUAAACGACUGAACAUUGACUGGGAUUCAGCCGUAGAUAUAGAUUCAGCUGAUGAGGCUGGUGAAACUGAAGUUCCCUCGGUUCUGGGAUAUGGAAUGUUAUAUGUUGUCACAGCCCUACCGGUCAUCAUUGGGGUUGCUGUUGUGCUGAUCCUAUUUUAUAAUUCCCUUCAAUGAAAUGCUUUUUCUGCUUGUUUGGUGUUUGUGUCAUGGAUGCACCUUGCCCUCACAUCUACAUCAGAAAUCUUGGGGCAUAUUUAUUUGCAGCAUGUUUGGGAAUGUUUCCGAAAUUUUUGGGAGCCCCGGAACCGAAUCACAAUAUCAUGGUGUUUUACAUUAUUUUUGCAAAAGGGCUUCACGUUUUCCGUUUUUUUCGGUUAUUACAUGGAUGCAAAAGUGCCGGGACGUUAUUGCCUUUUUCCUUUACUGGGUUUCCUUCUCCACCAGUUGCAAACAGAACGUUACAACCAUAUAACCUUCUUUCCCUAUCUGCGCAUGACACGUCUUAGACUGAAUGAGAAACUCUCCACAUUGUGCACCGGAUUGACAUGCUGAUCACUACGAAAGGUCCCAGACCUGAGUUAUGCCAUCUUACUCUGCCUGGUCAAAUGAGAAAUGGCCAGUCUUUCGUGGGGUGAGUCUAUGUGAUUCUAAUACCGCAACCUUGGGAAUUGGUUGGACAGCCUGUUUGAGUUAUUUCCAUGCCAUUCAUCUUUUGGGUCCGAGCAACUCGAGUAG